CUCAACGGUAGAGCAACUGAUUUGUAAUCAGUAGGUUGGCGGUUCGAAUCCGUCCGGGG
rnacentral:tRNA from 1 species